rnacentral:rRNA from 1 species
UACGUAGGGGGCAAGCGUUGUCCGGAAUCAUUGGGCGUAAAGAGCGUGUAGGCGGCCCGGUAAGUCCGCUGUAAAAGUCAAAGGCUUAACCUUUGAAUGUCAGUGGAUACUGCCGGGCUAGAGUCCGGAAGAGGCGAGUGGAACUCCUGGUGUAGCGGUGGAAUGCGCAGAUAUCAGGAAGAACACCAACGGCGAAGGCAGCUCGCUAGGACGGUACUGACGCUGGAGACGCGAAAGCGUGGGGAGCGAACAGG